rnacentral:rRNA from 1 species
AGAGUUUGAUCCUGGCUCAGAACGAACGCUGGCGGCAUGCCUAACACAUGCAAGUCGAACGAGACCUUCGGGUCUAGUGGCGCACGGGUGCGUAACGCGUGGGAAUCUGCCCUUGGGUUCGGAAUAAUAGUUAGAAAUGACUGCUAAUACCGGAUGAUGUCUUCGGACCAAAGAUUUAUCGCCCAAGGAUGAGCCCGCGUAAGAUUAGCUAGUUGGUGGGGUAAUGGCCCACCAAGGCGACGAUCUUUAGUCUGGUCUGAGAGGAUGAUCAGCCACACUGGGACUGAGACACGGCCCANACUCCUACGGGAGGCAGCAGUGGGGAAUAUUGGACAAUGGGCGAAAGCCUGAUCCAGCAAUGCCGCGUGAGUGAUGAAGGCCUUCAGGGUUGUAAAGCUCUUUUACCAGGGAUGAUAAUGGACNGUACCUGGGAGAAUANGCUCCGUGCUAACUCCGNGUCCANCCAUCCGGUGUAAUACGGAGGGGAGCUAGGCGNNNGUCUCGGAAUUCACUGGGGGCCGUNAAGCGUAACGUAGGGCNGGNUUAUUCAAGUUCAGAGGUUGAAAGGCCCGGGGUCUCNNCCCCCGGGAACUGNCUUUUGAAANCUANNAUAGCUAGAAGUUCUGGGGANGAGGGUUAGUUGGAAUUCCCNAGCUGUNNCAGGGUGAAAUCCG